rnacentral:rRNA from 1 species
UUCGCAAUGCCCGAAAGGGUGACGAAGCGACGCCGCGUGUGGGAAGAAGGCCUUCGGGUUGUAAACCACUGUCGGGAGUUAAGAAAUGCAAGGAUAUUAAUAGUGUCUUUGUUUGACUAAGGCUCCGGAGGAAGCCACGGCUAACUCUGUGCCAGCAGCCGCGGUAAUACAGAGGCGGCAAGCGUUGUUCGGAAUUAUUGGGCGUAAAGAGCACGUAGGCGGCUAUGUAAGUCGGUUGUGAAAGCCUUCCGCUCAACGGAAGAACAGCAUCCGAUACUACAUGGCUUGAGUGCGGGAGGGGAGAGUGGAACUUCUGGUGGAGCGGUGAAAUGCGUAGAUAUCAGAAGGAACGCCGGCGGCGAAAGCGGCCCUCUGGCCCAUAACUGACGCUGAGUGUGCGAAAGCUAGGGGAGCAAACGGGAUUAGAUACCCCGGUAGUCCUAGCCGUAAACGAUGGGCACUAAGUAGAGGGGUUUU